rnacentral:rRNA from 1 species
UACAGAGGGGGCAAGCGUUGUUCGGAAUUACUGGGCGUAAAGGGCGCGUAGGCGGCCUGCUAAGUCGAACGUGAAAUCCCCGGGCUCAACCCGGGAACUGCGUCCGAUACUGGCAGGCUUGAAUCCGGGAGAGGGAUGUGGAAUUCCAGGUGUAGCGGUGAAAUGCGUAGAUAUCUGGAGGACACCGGUGGCGAAGGCGGCAUCCUGGACCGGUAUUGACGCUGAUGCGCGAAAGCCAGGGGAGCAAACGGG